GACGAACGCUGGCGGCGUGCCUAAUACAUGCAAGUAGAACGCUGAAGAGAGGAGCUUGCUCUUCUUGGAUGAGUUGCGAACGGGUGAGUAACGCGUAGGUAACCUGCCUUGUAGCGGGGGAUAACUAUUGGAAACGAUAGCUAAUACCGCAUAACAAUGGAUGACACAUGUCAUUUAUUUGAAAGGGGCAAUUGCUCCACUACAAGAUGGACUGCGUUGGAUUAGCUAGUAGGUGAGGUAAUGGCUCACCUAGGCGACGAUACAUAGCCGACCUGAGAGGGUGAUCGGCCACACUGGGACUGAGACACGGCCCAGACUCCUACGGGAGGCAGCAGUAGGGAAUCUUCGGCAAUGGGGGCAACCCUGACCGAGCAACGCCGCGUGAGUGAAGAAGGUUUUCGGAUCGUAAAGCUCUGUUGUAAGUCAAGAACGGGUGUGAGAGUGGAAAGUUCACACUGUGACGGUAGCUUACCAGAAAGGGACGGCUAACUACGUG
rnacentral:rRNA from 1 species